UGUGUCUGGAUUACCUGUGGAGCAACUGAACAGACGUGGAACACUUGUGUGGAUGGUGGGAGGGGCCCCACCAGAGUGUGUGUGUGUGUGUGUUCCUGGAAGCUGCAGGUAUAUGUUACUGGAAGACUGAGAAGCACCUGAUGACAAUUCUUGGAAUUGUGGACACUUGCUGCGUACACACAUGUGUGGACACACAUUCACUGCUGACAGGUCUGUGGCUGCCAGAGUAAAGAAAAGAUGGUCUGGGUUGGAAGGGACAUGCUGUUACAGCAUCAGGACCAGGAGGAGUCUAGAAGACGUGGUGGAGGAACUAGUGGAUUUAAACACACCUUCCUGGGAGAAAGGAGAUGGGGCUGACAAGACGCAGGGUCCUGAAUGUUCUUCAGCUGGUGAACGUCGUCUUGUGUUGGGCAAUGGCAGCUGGUCUCGCAGAACUUCAUGACCUUGGACUCAUAGACUAUACACUUUGGCUCUUGCCAGCCCUGUGCAGUCGUUUCCUCUUCCGAGUCAGAUGAUGUUAAGCUGGUGUCAAGGCAGAAAAAUGUUGCUGGGAUUGACACUCACCAAGGAGCUGUACCGUACCUGUCACCAAGUAAGAUGCUGCUGUUGAUAUUGUUGUUGUUGUUGUCUUGGUGAUUGUCAUUCCAACCUUCCUGGGAAUCAUCUGUUCUAGAGCCAUCCAAGAUGCAGAGAUAGCUGACACUCACAUGUCAUCGGCAGCCCCAGUGCAUUAGAUACCCUAUAGAGAAAUGGUGCAGUGAUCUGUGUUGCUGAUCACCUGUCGUCUUUGUAUUGACUCUACUGACGUGAAUAAGACUUGAAAUGUGAAUGUGAAUCAACUCUGAAUUAAAUCCCAAUCAAAUCUGGAUCUGGAUCCAGGGAAGUUUUAUGAGUCAUUGUUUCAGUGGAUUGUGUGGAAUUUCCUUUCCAUUGGAGACUGACAUGUAAUCUUUCACUAUUUACUGUGAGGAUACAAAUUGUGUUUGCAG
rnacentral:lncRNA from 1 species